UUUUAGUGGCGGACGGGUGAGUAACGCGUGGGUAACCUGCCUUGCACUGGGGGAUAACACUUAGAAAUAGGUGCUAAUACCGCAUAAGCGCACGGUCCUGCAUGGGACAGUGUGAAAAACUCCGGUGGUGCAAGAUGGACCCGCGUCUGAUUAGCUGGUUGGCGGGGUAAAGGCCCACCAAGGCGACGAUCAGUAGCCGGCCUGAGAGGGUGGACGGCCACAUUGGGACUGAGACACGGCCCAAACUCCUACGGAAGGCAGCAG
rnacentral:rRNA from 1 species